UGGGGAAUUUUCCGCAAUGGGCGAAAGCCUGACGGAGCAAGACCGCGUGGGGGAGGAAGGCCUUUGGGUUGUAAACCUCUUUUCUCAGGGAAGAAGACAGUGACGGUACCUGAGGAAUCAGCCCCGGCUAACUCCGUGCCAGCAGCCGCGGUAAUACGGAGGAGGCAAGCGUUAUCCGGAAUUAUUGGGCGUAAAGCGUCCGCAGGUGGUUGUUCAAGUCCGCUGUCAAAGACCGGGGCUUAACCCUGGAGAGGCAGUAGAAACUGAACAACUAGAGGUCGGUAGGGGUAGAGGGAAUUCCCAGUGUAGCGGUGAAAUGCGUAGAGAUUGGGAAGAACACCAGUGGCGAAAGCGCUCUACUGGGCCGACACUGACACUCAGGGACGAAAGCUAGGGGAGCGAAUGGGAUUAGAUACCCGCGUAGUCC
rnacentral:rRNA from 1 species